rnacentral:tRNA from 1 species
GCGUAAUUGGUUUAGUGGUAAAAUUCUCCGUUGCCAUUCGAGCAGCGUAGGGUUCGAUUCCCUGAUUACGCA